rnacentral:rRNA from 1 species
GUGUCAGCAGCCGCGGUAAUACGAAGGGGGCUAGCGUUGUUCGGAAUUACUGGGCGUAAAGCGCGCGCAGGCGGUUCUUCAAGUCAGUGGUGAAAGCCCGGAGCUCAACUCCGGAACUGCCAUUGAAACUGUAGAACUUGAGGAUGAGAGAGGUGAGUGGAAUUCCCAGUGUAGAGGUGAAAUUCGUAGAUAUUGGGAAGAACACCGGUGGCGAAGGCGGCUCACUGGCUCAUUUCUGACGCUCAGGCGCGACAGCGUGGGGAUCAAACAGGAUUAGAUACCCCAGUAGUCC